GCUGCUUAAAUCAACCCAGGACAAUUUUCAGCCAUUAGUCCUAUACAACUACUUAAAAUAAGACAUACUUAAUUGUUUAAGUUUUAUGUUUUUCUGCCUGUGUGAUGUGUUGUUUGUUUUUCAUUUGGGCCUGAUUUUGUAUUAGACUGUUCUUUUGUGUGGGACUGAUUUGUUUUAGCUUCAACUGUACUAAAAGCAUUUUGUUAUCACACCAAGGACUGUAAUUUACAUGGUGUGUAACAUGUUUCUUUACUUGUUGAUACAUUGAAUGAACUAUUUUUAUUUUAUUUUAUUUAUAUAUUAUUAUGUUUUGUUUUGUUAUGUUGUCAAUUAUUGUGAAGUAUGUUUUGGCAUGGAUAAUUACAAAGAAGGAAAAAGAAGGAAGAGUUAUUGAUGUUAUAUCAGAAGAGUUACUGAUGCUCUAUACAUUUCAUUUCAUAAUGGUAUAUACGGAAUCUGUUCACUAACAUAUUGCUAAAUUUUACUGCUGGAUCUGUACAAUUAACCACCACAAUACAAUGGACUGAAUGCAAUAAGUCUUACUUUGUAAGACAAAACUGAACCAACCACUUCAGAGGUGUGGAGUCGAAAAUGCUGUCAUCAGAUCUUCUGGCAUAUUGACUUUAUAAAAUGUUGGCCCAGGCCCAGCCUCACAGCCUUCCAAGUGGCCUGCACCAGUCCUGCUACGGAUCACGGACAUCCGCCAGCAACGCAGCCUUCCGAGUGGCCUGCACCAGUCACAGAGCCUGCUGCAAAUGACGGACAUCUGCCAGCAACGCAGCCUUCCGAAUGACCUGCACCAGACACAGGGCCUGCUGAGGAUCACGGUCAUCCACCAGCAAUGCAAACUAUCAAGAUUUUAUCAGGUUAUAUAGUGUUUGCCCAGUUUCAAAUACUAUACUUGCUGAGAUGCUUCAGAGUUGUGGUGUGACCACUACCACAGGUGUGCACAGAACUUGUCCAUGCGUCAAUUCCAUGGGACACACCAAUCGUGAGGACAGCUGAGGCUCAUGGGCAUUCACAAGCCACACAGCCUAUCGAACCACCUGUACCAGAUGGAGAGCCUGCUGAGACUCAUCCUCCUUUUCCAUUGGUGGUUGUGGUGAUGCAGAGGGGCUUUUACUUGUCACAGUGCCUGUUGAGGCUUAUGUACCCUCACCUGCCUUGUGACCUGCUGAGGCUCAUGCACCUAAUCUUCGCAAUCUACAACAGCACU